UUUAAAAAAGAUAUCCUGUUAUUUAUCAAACACAUCUUUCACUCCACCCUGGCUGGCUCAGACAUGUCUGACUUAUUGGGCAGAAUUCCUUCUACUAUACAUUCCCAGCCUACCCUUUGUACCAUUGAUGUGGGUAGCAUCACCACCAAUACAGGCAAGAAUCACCACCACCAAGAAGGGAUCUAUCACUUCUGUGCAGGCUUAUCUAUGUGCUUCCUAAUGACUUGACUGCCUCUGAAACUACCUUUGCCCAUUUGGAUGCUACUACUAUGCUGUUUUGGGCUACUGCUGUCUUGGGUAUCUCUCCAGCUGUGGAUCCUAUGGGCUCCACCUCACUUUACAUCAAUCCCAAUAUUGUGGCAAUGAGCAUUAUACGUUGCCUGAGGGGUGACAAAGUUCUUGUAGGACUUCGAAUCCCUCCAGAACAUCCUUGCCAUUCUGGGUAUGGAUGAACUUUCCAAGAAAGAUAAAUUGUCUGUGCGCAGUCAAGGAAAAUACAGUGCUUCUUGUCUCAGCCAUUCCAGUUUGCUGAAGUCUUCAGAGGUCACAUGGGAAAGCCAGCUCUUUGAGAUAUAUCAUUAAAGGAUUUCAUCAGAUUUUGGAAGGCAACUUUGACCAUUUGCCAGGGAGCCACUGAGGAAGCUGUGCCAAAAGUGGAUAAGCUGGCAGACAAGCAUGCA
rnacentral:lncRNA from 1 species